UCGCCAACAAGUCUCAGGACUUGUUCUCCUACUUACAACAACAUCUGAAGGAAGAUUACUACCAGUUUCAAGUUUGUAGCGGCCAUCAUCUUCGAUUCCAUCUAGCGAGCACUGAUCGUUGAUUCCCUUUCCACUUGGAGCAAAUUGGAGUUGUUGGUAACCAAAAUUAUACAUUAAGUUUCUGCUACUCUUAGAAUCUAUGUGAACAUGGAUAAAAGAUGGAUGAGUAUGUCACGAUCAAGUGAUGAGUAUAAAGCUGGUUU